rnacentral:rRNA from 1 species
CCCUUAGAUGUUCUGGGCCGCACGCGCGCUACACUGAUUCAUGCACUAAGUAUAUAACCUUGGUAGAAAUGCUUGGGUAAUCUUCGAAACUGAAUCGUGCUGGGGAUUGGAGCUUGUAAUUAUUCUCCAUGAACGAGGAAUUCCUAGUAAACGCGAGUCAUCAGCUCGCAUUGAUUACGUCCCUGCCCUUUGUACACACCGCCCGUCGCACCUACCGAUUGAAUGGUCCGGUGAAAUCUUCGGACCGCGCAACGCCGCAGGGUGAUGCGUGGAAAGUUGCUCAAACCUUACCAUUUAGAGGAAGGUGAAGUCGUAACA